UACGGAGGAGGCAAGCGUUAUCCGGAAUUAUUGGGCGUAAAGCGUCCGUAGGUGGCUAGUCAAGUCUGCGGUCAAAGACUGGGGCUUAACCCUGGAAAGGCCGUGGAAACUGACGAGCUAGAGUGCAGUAGGGGGUAGAGGGAAUUCCCGGUGUAGCGGUGAAAUGCGUAGAGCUCGGGAAGAACAUCGGUGGCGAAAGCGCUCUACUGGACUGCAACUGACACUCAGGGACGAAAGCUAGGGGAGCGAAUGGG
rnacentral:rRNA from 1 species